AGGAAAUCAGAAACCACUGCACCAAGCAGCAUUGUUAUGGCAUUAUUUAGUUUCCUAAUAUAUAUAUACAGGUUAAAAGGAACGACAGAAAAAAAAAGGCUGUUCUUCUUCAACCUCUAGCCGCUGCAGAUUUAGAUCCAGUAGUUGCAGGGCAAUUUUAUCAUAAAAAAAUCACAAUUAACACUACAUAUAAUCUCUUUGAUUAGCAACUAAUGGUACAGGAUCAGACUAAAUAAAAUCUCUUUGACAAACACUAUCAAUUUGACCAUUAUUAUUUUAUCAAAAUACUCAUUUUCCUAAUGAACAAGUUACUCAAAACCCCUCACCAAUUCUAACUCUCAAGUUGUUACCUAUUCAAAUUAAUUCUACUAAACUAUAAUGCUGACCAAAAACGAACCAACGUCGAAAUCAUGUCCGGAAAGCCUAGUGAACUACCCCAAAACUCUGCUGGACAGAACAGCAGUAAGCUGUAUUGACAGACUCAGAAAGAAACAGAUUUCGGUGAUUGGUCGCAAGUACUUAAUUGUGUUAACUACUUUGGUAAACAAUUUUACGUUAAUAAAAUAACUUAUAUACUUGAAGACUUUGUUAAUUUAGUUCUUCUAUUAUCUUCAUGAAGACCAUGGAACGGUCAUGCUUUAUUUCCCCAACACAAGCCAUGCUUCAGGGAUAUAAACUAUACAAGGUUUCAUAGCUUGUAACAUACAUACAAGGUUGCUACUUAACAAUUAUCAAAACAGCCCAUUGGAACAGUGCACACCAGGUUAGACUAUGGUCCUAAAACUAAUUUGGUAUCAGACAAGUACUAAAAUCAGACCUGGAGCGAGAACAAUCCGCUUCCGAGCUAACUUUAUUAUCCUUAGUUAAUCUUGUAUUUCCCUUCUGUACACAAGCAGACCUCAGCCAUAUGAAAAGUGAUAUUAAAGCUUGGUUUUUAAGUUCCCAAACAACUCCAAAACAGUUCUAAAUUAUUCCAAUGUUAAUUUCCUAUGAUUACUAUUCAAUUAGGAAUUAAUUUUGUGAUUGAAGAACACAUAGUUUAUGGUUUUAAUCUCUAAUUAGAAAUUCUGAUUUUCUUUCCACUUUUCAAUCCAAAACAUACACACUCAAAACAUAAAUGUAUAAACCAAUAUUUCAAAACAAAGUUGCAGGAUGUAAAAUCACAAAUUAUAACAGAUUAAGACAAAACGAAAUUACACUCCGAAGUACAAAAUCACCAAUCAGAAUCACAGACCAGAAAUCAAAAGGAAGGAAUUAAAGAAAGCAUAAAUCUAUUCUAAUUCGCCCAAUUACUAAACAUAAGACCAGAAAUUCAAGAAUGGCUUAUGCUAAUUCAAAAGGGUAGAAUGAAAAUAGAAUAACCACAUAGUAACAAAAUUAAAAGGUACGGGACAGAAAUCAAAAUAAAAGAAAUAGAGAGACAUAAGAACUUAAUCUAAUCCAACCAAUUACGAAGUAUUAGUUUUCCCCUAACCUUAAGUUUUGAUGAAUUCUUUCUUUGAUCCUAGCUGCUGAAAUCCUUUCUUCUCCUUCCUAUGGCGGCUGCCGGCGGCUGCCUCUACCUCCUCUCUACCUCAAUUUUUCUGAUUUUCUUUCUAAGUUACAAAACUAGGUUAAUUCCAGGUUUUAUUAAACUAGUUUUAACAUAAUUCUUAUUUUUUUUGGGCUUCCUAUCUGCACCCCUCUUUUACUUCGUGUUAUCAAACCCAAGUCCACUUACUACUUUUCUAUUAUUACUA
rnacentral:lncRNA from 1 species